CACACACACCCACACACACAAACAAAAUCACAUUUGUGGAAUAGUAACACAGGAACCGACCGCCCCAGGAGACCAAUGACGCCGACACUGUGCGCCCGGAGACCAGUCUCCGGGGCGUGCAGGACGCCCUCGACGAUCCGCACGCCACGCAUGCACUGGGACACGGGACUCCUGAACCGGAGGCCGCACGCUCCAGGGAACUGGGCCGACACCGUCGACAGCAGAACGGUGCCGUCGUCCUCAGACGGGAUCUCCAUUGGCUCCUCGUUCUCCUCCUCGGCCACUCGGACGUACACUUCGGCCAUUUGUUACGACGAUUGGGUUACGACGUCUAAUGUAACUAGAGGCACUGGACGAGUCUAGCAAAGUUUUUAAAUGAAUGAUUAAGACGAAUUAUUGCAUGUAAUUGCGGGUGUUUUUUAGGGUUAAACAUAAAUUAUCUGAGGUGAGAGCGAAGAAGAAUCGAGUUACACUUGCGGGUCGGUUCUUUGUUCGUUCCAACAGUGUUGAAUAUCAACAACACACUAAAAGUACCUCGUAACGGCAUUAACGUCCACGAAAACUCGACAAAAGCAAAAAAAAAACCAACAAAAAAACGUCCUCGUCUUUUCACUGCACGGCAGCAAUUGUGUUUCUAUACGAUAUCGUCUCACCCUGAAAUACGACACUAGUGUUUUGUUGUUGUUCCACGGGGUACAACACUCACACCGCCAUAUACGUUCGUCGAAACAGGAUUACCUAAGAGAAGCAGGAAACGCGUAAUCAAAAACGGACGGAUUUAUUUGACGGAGGUGAAUUAAUCAUUGUUUCGUUGUUGUUUCACGUCGCAAAACACCACUUAAGAGCAGCCCUUUUAAUUCGAAACUCUACUCAAAUUCAAAAGAGUUGCGGCCCCGAACAUGUUUUAUGAUUUUAGUUUCUUUUGUUAUUUGCAGUCUUUUUUAUUGUACAACCACCCCAUUUUGAAUCCUGACAUGGUACAGUCCCCACAGCUAGACUGUUCCGAAACGACAGCAAGAUGGCCGUCCACCUGCAUUCGGUGUAAACAAUAACAAUCAAAUCGUGUCGGAUUUUGUGGCCGAGGAGAUUGUUCCUUUGUGACAAUUUUCAUAUCACAUUGUACAUAUAUAAUAUAGUUUAAUCUAUGUUGCUUAUGUAACAGAUGAGCGUUGAAUAAUAAAAACCGAGAGUACUCCUCACUGUAAAGUAAAAGCGCACAGCAUGGUGUCGGUGGUGGUUUGGAAGUCAAUCGCGCCAGCCAAAAAGUUCUAAAGUUUUGGGUUCGAAUUUCAGCUCCGGUCUUCCAGUCUCCCCUACUUUGUUUCCUCAUGAAAUCAAAUUGAUUAAAAUGUAUUCUCAUAAAAUAAUUUUCUGAAAAUUAUUUUCACUCAAAUGUAAAGGCAUCGUGCCUCCGUGCGGUUUCUCCCAUAUUCCAGAAACUUGCAUGACAAGCUAAAGAAACACUUAAUAUUGUCCCUAGGCGUGAGCGUGAGUGCGGAUGGUUGUUCGUCUGUGUGUGUGUCCUGUGAUUGGCUGUCACCCAGUUCAGGGUGAACCCCAACUACUGCCCGAAGACUAGCUGGGAUAGCCCGCAGCAAGACCGCGACCCUUGUUAAAAUAAGAUGAUAUGGAAAUGGUGGUGGAUGUAAACACAUCUGAUUCACAGUAGAGGUUCUGGGUUUGAAUCUGUCACUUGCAUGUUCUCCUCGGAUUCUCCCACAUUGUAAAAUCAUGAUUGUUCGCUUCAUUAAGACUGAGAUUGUGAAGGGUUGUCUUGUUUUUAUGUCCGCCUGCAAGUGAUUGGUGAUCAAUGUACAAUGUAUUGUAUAAGUCAGUGGUUCUCAACCCUUUUUCAUUGAUGUACCUCUUGUGUUCUUUUCGAACCAAACACCCAGUGUAAAGCGUUUUGAAUGAAGAAAAAAAAAACAGAUAGCCAAAUAGGUCCAUGGGACUGCAAAAACAACACUGCAAGAUAACUCUCAAACAGCUUUUUUUAAUUACAUCUUCAAUCAAUAACAGUACAUUUUAGUACAGUAUCUAACUUGCAUCCAGCUCACCGUGGAACACCAAGAGACUGAAAGGAAAUACCAAAAAAAAAAGUGGAAAGCUACAUAAAGGUGCAGAGCUCUAGUAUAUUCAUGGAAACAAGGUGGAGGGAGCAGGAAAAUCCAUCUGGAGUUGAAUCGCAUUUUCACUGGUGGCCACACACACAAAAUACAUUACAUUUAUUGAAGUACAUCAUUGUAGAGAAAGGAAAAAGUGAGAAUGUCACACAUUAACAAAAGUGCUUCUGUAUACAGUGAAAUGUUGCCAUUCAGAUGUUUGUCUUUUUCAAUUUAAGACCAAAAGAAAAUAGAAAAAAGGGUAAUAUGGACACUGUGUAUGUGUGUUUUGUUCCAUUAAGUGAAGAUUUGAAAGAGAGAAAAAAGCUUUCCAAAAAUAAAUUAUCAGAAUGAUCGUUAUAUUCUGAAAGGUUUGCGUCAAUAUAACUGGUAAGCAUAUUUGAGACUAGAUAUGCCGUCUCUUGCUCACCAUGACGCAUAGCAUUACCAGUUAUUGGUAUGGAGAGUCGGAGCCCCAAAAAUGACUGAUUAGGUUCAAAUCAGUAGGAACCAAAACGGAAAAAAAAAUCUAGGACUGUUUUCUUUUUAAUUUAUUUUUAUUAUUUUAGCACCACUGAAAGCAAGUCUACAGCAUGCACAUCUAAAUUGUGUCGGACAAAAUUUAAUGUCUCAACUUAAAAACAGAUCAUAUCUUCCAGACAUUGAUUUUUUUUUUGUACAUUUCAUUCACAGAGUUGCAACUGCAGUCCCAACCAAAGGAAGUGUCUAUUUAGUAAAGUGAGGCGUUUCACCCAAAAAAGUGGAUACUAAACACAAGACCCGAAACCUCCCCACCCACCCCAAUUCAUAUAAAAUCAAACUGCCCCUUCCUCUGCCCGAGAUAAUCUCAGCACCUGCCUCGCUGCACUAUUUCUUCCCACCCAAAGUCAAUGGCAUGUAAAAUAAUUAAAGAGGGAGAGAUGUGGGGGUUAUACCUGGACAAAGUUACUCAAAAGAACUCCUUUUUGCACCGGAAUGAGUAUUCAUAACUUAGAGCAUGUGCUUGGUUAGUUAACAUUGGAUUAGUUGAGAGGCAAAGCUUCAUGUGCAAAAGGCUGUGAUGGAAACAAAAAGAAGAACAAAAACCCCAGCUAGUAUAUAAAUACAUUAGUCAUUUUGGAAAAGCUGCUUGUGUAAUAUGAGCUUUUUUUUUUAACUUCUGCAUGUUUUUCUCUCAUCGCUCAUUCGUGAUUUAACUGGAUUAGAAAGGACAAGGUGUCAUUCAAACAUAUCUAAAACCACUAAAGAAAUA